CGAUGAUCCGGUGCUUGCACCGGGGAUUAGUGGCGAACGGGUGAGUAACACGUGAGUAACCUGCCCUUAACUCUGGGAUAAGCCUGGGAAACUGGGUCUAAUACCGGAUAUGACUCCUCAUCGCAUGGUGGGGGGUGGAAAGCUUUUGUGGUUUUGGAUGGACUCGCGGCCUAUCAGCUUGUUGGUGAGGUAAUGGCUCACCAAGGCGACGACGGGUAGCCGGCCUGAGAGGGUGACCGGCCACACUGGGACUGAGACACGGCCCAGACUCCUACGGGAGGCAGCAGUGGGGAAUAUUGCACAAUGGGCGGAAGCCUGAUGCAGCGACGCCGCGUGAGGGAUGACGGCCUUCGGGUUGUAAACCUCUUUCAGUAGGGAAGAAGCGAAAGUGACGGUACCUGCAGAAGAAGCGCCGGCUAACUACGUGCCAGCAGCCGCGGUAAUACGUAGGGCGCAAGCGUUAUCCGGAAUUAUUGGGCGUAAAGAGCUCGUAGGCGGUUUGUCGCGUCUGCCGUGAAAGUCCGGGGCUCAACUCCGGAUCUGCGGUGGGUACGGGCAGACUAGAGUGAUGUAGGGGAGACUGGAAUUCCUGGUGUAGCGGUGAAAUGCGCAGAUAUCAGGAGGAACACCGAUGGCGAAGGCAGGUCUCUGGGCAUUAACUGACGCUGAGGAGCGAAAGCAUGGGGAGCGAACAGGAUUAGAUACCCUGGUAGUCCAUGCCGUAAACGUUGGGCACUAGGUGUGGGGGACAUUCCACGUUUUCCGCACCGUAGCUAACG
rnacentral:rRNA from 1 species